AUUGAACGCUGGCGGCAGGCCUAACACAUGCAAGUCGAACGAGUGGCGGACGGGUGAGUAAUGUCUGGGCAACUGCCUGAUGGAGGGGGAUAACUACUGGAAACGGUAGCUAAUACCGCAUACCAUCAGAUGUGCCCAGAUGGGAUUAGCUUGUUGGGGGGGUAACGGCUCACAAAGGAGACGAUCCCUAGCUGGUCUGAGAGGCUGACCAGCCACACUGGAACGGAGACACGGCCCAGACUCCUACGUGAGGCAGCAGUGGGGAAUAUUGCACAAGGGGGGCAAGCCUGAUGCAGCCAUUCCGCUUGUAGGAAGAAGGCCUUCGGGUUGUAAAGUACUUUCAGCGGGGAGGCGGUACCCGCAGAGGAAGCACCGGCUAACUCCGUGCCAGCAGCCGCGGUAAUUC
rnacentral:rRNA from 1 species